UGCAUCGGCCGGGAAUCGAACCCGGGCCCGCCCACGUGGCAGGCGAGCAUUCUACCACUGAACCACCGAUGG
rnacentral:tRNA from 1 species